CCUACGGGCGGCAGCAGUGGGGGAUAUUGCACAAUGGGGGAAACCCUGAUGCAGCGACGCCGCGUGAGUGAAGAAGUAUUUCGGUAUGUAAAGCUCUAUCAGCAGGGAAGAAAAUGACAGUACCUGACCAAGAAGCCCAGGCUAACUACGUGCCAGCAGCCGCGGUAAUACGUAGGGGGCAAGCGUUAUCCGGAUUUACUGGGUGUAAAGGGGGCGUAGACGGUUAUGUAGGUCUGGAGUGAAAGCCCGGGGCCAAACCCCGGGACUGCUUGGGAAACUGGGUAACUGGAGUACAGGAGGGGCAGGCGGAAUGACUGGUGUAGCGGUGAAAUGCGUAGAUAUCAGGAGGAACACCGGUGGCGAAGGCAGCCUGCUGGACUGCAACUGACGUUGAGGCUCGAAAGCGUGGGGAGCGAACAGGAUUAGAUACCCCUGUAGUC
rnacentral:rRNA from 1 species